rnacentral:rRNA from 1 species
UACGUAGGGUGCAGGCGUUAAUCGGAAUUACUGGGCGUAAAGCGUGCGCAGGCGGUCUUGCAAGACAGAUGUGAAAUCCCCGGGCUUAACCUGGGAACUGCAUUUGUGACUGCAAGGCUGGAGUACGGCAGAGGGGGAUGGAAUUCCGCGUGUAGCAGUGAAACGCGUAGAUAUGCGGAGGAACACCGAUGGCGAAGGCAAUCCCCUGGGCCUGUACUGACGCUCAUGCACGAAAGCGUGGGGAGCAAACAUG